rnacentral:rRNA from 1 species
CAGUCAGGAGAACGUUUUCUUCGGAAAACUAGUAAACUGGCGGACGGGUUAGUACACGCGUAGGCAACCUACCUUUAAGAUUGGGAUAACUCAGUGAAAACAGGGCUAAUACCAAAUAAUAUCUACUCUCUCUGGAUUGUAGAUCAAAGCAGGCUUCGGCUUGCACUUUUAGAUGGGCCUGCGUCUGAUUAGUUUGUUGGUGAGGUAAUGGCUCACCAAGACUGCGAUCAGUAGCUGGUUUGAGAGGAUGAUCAGCAACACUGGGACUGAGAUACGGCCCAGACUCCUACGGGAGGCAGCAGUGAGGAAUUUUGCGCAAUGGGCGAAAGCUUGACGCAGCAACGCCGUGUGAUCGAUGAAGGUUUGCGAAUCGUAAAGAUCUUUAAUAAAGGAAGAAAAGUAUCUAUUCUAACAAAAUAUGUACCUGACGGUACUUUAUCAAAAAGCCCCGGCUAACUUCGUGCCAGCAGCCGCGGUAAUACGAGGGGGGCAAGCGUUAUCCGGAUUUAUUGGGCGUAAAGGGCUCGUGGGCGGAUUUAUAA